GCAAGGUGAGGUAGUAGGUUGUAUAGUUUGUGGGAUGGCUUGGAUCCUACUCAGAUGAUAACUAUACAGUCUAUUACCUUCCUUGA
rfam:Takifugu rubripes genomic scaffold, scaffold_7484